CGGGACCUCAGGUCAGGCGGGG
rnacentral:rRNA from 8 species